rnacentral:rRNA from 1 species
AGUGAACGCUGGCGGUAGGCCUAACACAUGCAAGUCGAACGGCAGCACAGUAAGAGCUUGCUCUUACGGGUGGCGAGUGGCGGACGGGUGAGGAAUACAUCGGAAUCUACUUUUUCGUGGGGGAUAACGUAGGGAAACUUACGCUAAUACCGCAUACGACCUACGGGUGAAAGCAGGGGAUCUUCGGACCUUUCGCGAUUGAUUGAGCCGAUGUCGGAUUAGCUAGUUGGCGGGGUAAAGGCCCACCAAGGCGACGAUCCGUAGCUGGUCUGAGAGGAUGAUCAGCCACACUGGAACUGAGACACGGUCCAGACUCCUACGGGAGGCAGCAGUGGGGAAUAUUGGACAAUGGGCGCAAGCCUGAUCCAGCCAUACCGCGUGGGUGAAGAAGGCCUUCGGGUUGUAAAGCCCUUUUGUUGGGAAAGAAAAGCAGCAGGUUAAUACCCCACUGUUCUGACGGUACCCAAAGAAUAAGCACCGGCUAACUUCGUG